rnacentral:rRNA from 1 species
AGAGUUUGAUCAUGGCUCAGAUUGAACGCUGGCGGCAUGGCUAAGACAUGCAAGUCGAGCGCGAAAGGGGCUUCGGCUCCGAGUAGAGCGGCGAAAGGGUGAGUAAUACGUUCCUACGUACCCUCCGGUCGAGGAUACUCCGGGGAAACCCGGGCCAAUACUCGAUGUGGUCUCCGGAUCAAAGGCUUCGGCCGCCGGUGGAGCGGGGAACGUCCUAUCAGGUUGUUGGUGAGGUAAUGGCUCACCAAGCCUAAGACGGGUAGCGGGUGUGAGAGCACGGCCCGCCACAUCGGGACUGAGACACUGCCCGGACUCCUACGGGAGGCUGCAGUAACGAAUAUUCCGCAAUGCGCGAAAGCGUGACGGAGCAAUGCCGCGUGCAGGAUGAAGCCCCUCGGGGUGUAAACUGCUGUCAGGGUUUAGCAACUCAAUGAGCAGACCCAAAGGAAGAGCCGACUAACUCUGUGCCAGCAGUCGCGGUAAUACAGAGGGCUCGAGCGUUAAUCGGAAUCACUGGGCUUAAAGCGUGCGUAGGCGGACGUGUAGGCACUUUGUGAAAUCCCCCGGCUCAACCGGGGAAUUGCUUGGUGAACCACACGUCUUGAGGCAAGUAGGGGCUGUCGGAACGCUAGGUGGAGUGGUGAAAUGCGUUGAUAUCUAGCGGAACGCCGAAGGUGAAAACAGGCAGCUGGGCUUGUCCUG